UACGUAGGGUGCAAGCGUUAUCCGGAAUUAUUGGGCGUAAAGAGCUCGUAGGCGGUUUGUCGCGUCUGCUGUGAAAACUGGGGGCUCAACCCCCAGCCUGCAGUGGGGUACGGGCAGACUAGAGUGCGGUAGGGGGAGAUUGGAAUUCCUGGUGUAGCGGUGGAAUGCGUAGAGAUCCGGAAGAACACCGGUGGCGAAGGCGGCCUGUCUGGGCAGUUUUUGG
rnacentral:rRNA from 1 species